UGGGGAAUAUUGGACAAUGGGGGCAACCCUGAUCCAGCCAUGCCGCGUGUGUGAAGAAGGCCUUCGGGUUGUAAAGCACUUUAAGUGGGGAGAAAGGUUCGCUGCCUAAUAAGCAGCGGAAUUGAUGUUACCCACAGAAUAAGCACCGGCUAACUCUGUGCCAGCAGCCGCGGUAAUACAGAGGGUGCAAGCGUCAAUCGGAAUUACUGGGCGUAAAGCGCGCGUAGGCGGCUGUCUAAGUCGGGUGUGAAAGCCCCGGGCUCAACCUGGGAACUGCAUUCGAUACUGGACGGCUAGAGUAUGAGAGAGGGAGGUAGAAUUCCACGUGUAGCGGUGAAAUGCGUAGAUAUGUGGAGGAAUACCGGUGGCGAAGGCGGCCUCCUGGUUCAAUACUGACGCUGAGGUGCGAAAGCGUGGGGAGCAAA
rnacentral:rRNA from 1 species